UACCGGCAGCACGAGUGAUGGCCGAUCUUAUUGGGCCUAAAGCGUCCGUAGCUGGCCAGACAAGUCCGUUGGGAAAUCGACGUGCCUAACGCGUCGGCGUCCAGCGGAAACUGUCCGGCUUGGGACCGGAAGACCCGAGGGGUACGUCCGGGGUAGGAGUGAAAUCCUGUAAUCCUGGACGGACCACCGGUGGCGAAAGCGCCUCGGGAAGACGGAUCCGACAGUGAGGGACGAAAGCUGGGGUCUCGAA
rnacentral:rRNA from 1 species